rnacentral:rRNA from 1 species
AGUUUGAUCAUGGCUCAGGAUAAACGCUGGCGGCGUGCCUAACACAUGCAAGUCGAACGAUCCCGCAAGGGAGAGUGGCGGAAGGGUGAGUAACACGUGGGAAUCUACCUCCUCGCAGGGAACAACCUCUCGAAAGAGAGGCUAAUACCCAAAAGGGUCAGAAAUGAUCAGAGUCGAAAGGCGUGAGGAGAGGAGCCCGCGGCCCAUCAGCUAGUUGGUGAGGUAAUGGCUUACCAAGGCUACGACGGGUAGGGGAUCUGAGAGGAUGUCCCCCACACUGGAACUGAAACACGGUCCAGACGCCUACGGGUGGCAGCAGUGAGGAAUAUUGGACAAUGGGCGAAAGCCCGAUCCAGCAACGCCGCGUGGAGGAUGAAGGCCUUCGGGUCGUAAACUUCUUUAGAGGGAGACGAGAAAGGACGGUAUCCCUAGAAUAAGCGACGGCAAACUACGUG